AGAGUUUGAUCAUGGCUCAGAUUGAACGCUGGCGGAAUGCUUUACACAUGCAAGUCGAACGGCAGCACGGGAGCUUGCUCCUGGUGGCGAGUGGCGAACGGGUGAGUAAUAUAUCGGAACGUACCUAGUAAUGGGGGAUAACUAUCCGAAAGGAUAGCUAAUACCGCAUACGCCCUGAGGGGGAAAGCGGGGGAUCGUAAGACCUCGCGUUAUUAGAGCGGCCGAUAUCUGAUUAGCUAGUUGGUGGGGUAAAGGCCCACCAAGGCGACGAUCAGUAGCUGGUCUGAGGGGACGACCAGCCACACUGGAACUGAGACACGGUCCAGACUCCUACGGGAGGCAGCAGUGGGGAAUUUUGGACAAUGGGCGCAAGCCUGAUCCAGCCAUUCCGCGUGAGUGAAGAAGGCCUUCGGGUUGUAAAGCUCUUUCGCAAGGGAAGAAACGAUUUAGACGAAUAAUCUAAGUUAAUGACGGUACCUUGAUAAGAAGCACCGGCUAACUACGUGCCAGCAGCCGCGGUAAUACGUAGGGUGCGAGCGUUAAUCGGAAUUACUGGGCGUAAAGCGUGCGCAGGCGGUUUUGUAAGUCAGAUGUGAAAUCCCCGGGCUCAACCUGGGAACUGCGUUUGAAACUACAAGGCUAGAGUGUAGCAGAGGGGGGUAGAAUUCCACGUGUAGCAGUGAAAUGCGUAGAGAUGUGGAGGAAUACCAAUGGCGAAGGCAGCCCCCUGGGUUAACACUGACGCUCAUGCACGAAAGCGUGGGGAGCAAACAGGAUUAGAUACCCUGGUAGUCCACGCCCUAAACGAUGUCAACUAGUUGUUGGUGGAGUAAAAUCCAUUAGUAACGCAGCUAACGCGUGAAGUUGACCGCCUGGGUAGUACGGUCGCAAGAUUAAAACUCAAAGGAAUUGACGG
rnacentral:rRNA from 1 species